rnacentral:rRNA from 1 species
AUAGUGUUUAUUAGAUACAGAACCAAUACACCAUUCUUUACGGAUGGUGUAAAAAAGGUGAUUCAUAGUAACCGAACGGAUCGCAUUAUAGUCAUUUUCUAUGGCUGGCGAUAGAUCAUUCAAGUUUCCGACCUAUCAGCUUUCGACGGUAGUGUAUUGGACUACCGUGGCAGUGACGGGUAACGGGGAAUUAGGGUUCGAUUCCGGAGAGGGAGCCUGAGAAACGGCUACCACAUCUAAGGAAGGCAGCAGGCGCGCAAAUUACCCAAUCCUGACUCAGGGAGGUAGUGACAAGAAAUAACAACACUGGAAAUUUUAUUUCUAGUGAUUGGAAUGGUGGGAAUUUAAACCCCUUUCAGAGUAACAAUUGGAGGGCAAGUCUGGUGCCAGCAGCCGCGGUAAUUCCAGCUCCAAUAGCGUAUAUUAAAGUUGUUGCAGUUAAAAAGCUCGUAGUUGGAUGUCUGCUGGAAGCAAUCAGUCCGCCCUAUUUGUAGGGUGUGCACUUGAUCAAUUCUGGCAUCUAUGUCCCGAUAAAGAAACGGGCGUUUAGCUGUUGGGCGAAAGCUCGACAGCUCGCGUCCGUUUAUUGGGAUAAUACUGUUACUUUGAGAAAAUUAGAGUGUUUGAAGCAGGCUAAUUGCCUUGAAUACUGCAGCAUGGAAUAACAAUAUAGGAUUUCGGUUCUAUUUUGUUGGUUUCUAGGACUGAAAUAAUGAUUAAUAGGGACAGUUGGGGGCAUUCGUAUUUAACUGUCAGAGGUGAAAUUCUUAGAUUUGUUAAAGACGAACUACUGCGAAAGCAUUUGCC